CAGUAGAAUGAAAUAAUACAAUGUUGAAAAGUAGUAGGAUUGAUAGUGGUUGGAUAUUCAUUUUUUUUUUUUUCAUUCAUUUCAUUCAUUC
rnacentral:ribozyme from 1 species